CAAACGGCCCUUUUUAGGGCCACUAAUUUUUUCAUACGAAGAAUAU
rfam:Acromyrmex echinatior unplaced genomic scaffold scaffold555, whole genome shotgun sequence.